AAGAGAAGAGAAGAGAAGAGAAGACUCUUGUGUUUGUAGAUCUAAACGGGGAGAAGCAGUCUUCUUAGUCUUAGUGAAUCGUCUGUCCAGAGAUGGCUGGAUCUGGUAUCGCUCUCAGGCUGCAUGAAUUCAGAGAGCCUCAGGACUGCAAAGACAUCACCACAACAACAGUUUUAACAAAAAGAACAUCACGUUUGGGAAGAGAUGUACAAGGGCUGUAUCCUGGUCAGCUGGCUAGAGUCCACAACACACUCUCUAAGGAUUAUGG